rnacentral:tRNA from 1 species
CCUUAUACGAUGAUUAUUCACGAUGAGUGUCCACACAGAUUGAUACGGUUUAUGUAAAGAGACGAUACUGGGUCUGUAGCUCAGGUGGUUAGAGCGUUCGCCUGAUAAGCGAGAGGUCGGUGGUUCAAGUCCACUCAGACCCACCAAUUUUCUUCCCGGGAGAUUGGCAGGAGUAUCGACACCUUGAUGGGGCUAUAGCUCAGCUGGGAGAGCGCCUGCCUUGCACGCAGGAGGUCAGCAGUUCGAUCCUGCUUAGCUCCACCAUUCUUGAUUUGAUGGGCGAUUAGCUCAGUUGGGAGAGCACCUGCCUUACAAGCAGGGGGUCACUGGUUCGAGCCCGGUAUCGCCCACCAUCUUUAAGCGCAUUAGCGAUAGUGCUUUUAAACAUGGUUACUUCUUUGAAGUGAUUAGCUCUUUAACAAUUUGGAAAGCUGACAAAACAACAAUUUAUUGUUGUUUGUAAAGUUCUCAAAGUAUUCAUGUAGUUUAAUACAACUAAAAACACAUUCAAGUGUUCUUGGCUUUUUGUUUUCACUUUUUAUAAAAAAGUAAAUAAAAAGAUAUUUGAGUCCGGCAAAAUCGAAUGUCUCUCGCUCAUUCAAAUAAUGAGAGACAACUUUGGUUGUUUACAUCAAUUCGAAACUCCUUCGGGUUGUAU